rnacentral:rRNA from 1 species
AAUCAACGCUGGCGGCGUGCCUCAGACAUGCAAGUCGAACGAUUAAAGCUCUCUUCGGAGAGUGUAUAGAGUGGCGCACGGGUGAGUAACACGUAAGUAAUCUACCUUUGAGUGGGGAAUAACGUCCGGAAACGGACGCUAAUACAGCAUAAUGCAGCGGCAUCACAAGAUGACAGUUGUUAAAGAUUUAUCGCUUGAAGAGGAGCUUGCGGCAGAUUAGCUUGUUGGUAAGGUAAUGGCUUACCAAGGCUACGAUCUGUAACCGGUCUAAGAGGACGGUCGGUCACACUGACACUGACUAACGGGUCAGACUCCUACGGGAGGCAGCAGUCGGGAAUUUUGGGCAAUGGGCGAAAGCCUGACCCAGCAACGCCGCGUGAAGGAUGAAGUAUUUCGGUAUGUAAACUUCGAAAGAAUGGGAAGAAUAAAUGACGGUACCAUUUAUAAGGUCCGGCUAACUACGUGCCAGCCGCCGCAGUAACAC